ensembl:lncRNA
GAAGUGUUGUUUGUUGGGAAGCAAGACCUUUUAGCUGUACUCAUAUUUGAUGCACGUGAACUGAAGAGGGCUUUGGCUGAAUGCACGUCGUAUGACGUCACAUGACGCGUCUUUACCCAAAUCUGCGGAAAUUCUGAAAAAUUGCAAGCUCCCCUGAAUAUUGCGGAGCUUGCUUGAUUUUGCAUUAAUGUCUGCGACCGCAAAAUCCCGGAGGGACUAAAUUGUCUUUAUUAAAUAAUAUUUUCCAAUGUUGAGACUAGACUAUAUACUAUAUAUACCUAAACCUACGUAGUGUUAAACAGGGAUGAUUAGUCAUGGAAUGUUUUUGUUGUUGUUUUGUUUUCACCAGCUAUUUUUUUCCCCAGUCACGUAGCGUUCUCACCUAGCUAGCAUUUGCUAGAGUGUUGGCUGCUGCUAUCAAUGCACUCCUCAAGAUUUAUUUCAUGUUCACGUUUUACCAGGUUUCUUGUAUUGUAGGAACAUGCUGCACUAGUUUCCUCUUGAUAUUUUCACAGUGCAGUGCAGAGCAGCUUGCUUUGCUUUGAUUGCCAUCAUUAAUCGUGACAUGCGUCCAUUUCCUGUUCAUUUUCUAACACCACAGUGAACACUAAGCUUAUGUCACAUAGUAUCACGUGAAAAUAAGCACAGGAUCGAACCAGAAUGCAUCCCUGAUAAUCCCCUUGAGACAUAGAAUAAGCUGCCAUGACAUUGCCAAAUACUACACUGGCGAAAAUAAUGGAAUCACUACUGUUUUUUUUGUUGUUUUUUUUAAAAUUUCGUACUAAAUAAACAAAUCACAGAUAUGACACAACAUGAUUUUUGUUUAAUAGCUGAACAUUCUGGAACAUUGAAACACAUCAAACAAAUUAAAUGAAAUUAAAUGAAUGGCAUAUUUUUUCCAGAUCAAAUAGAUGAAAAAGCGUGAAAUCAUUCAAUAUUGAGGAAUAAAUUAUGGAAUCAUCAACACCCCCCCGAUGGACUUCACUAAUGAAAAACAAUAUUCUCCAUCAAGCUGGUUCCAACUUUCUUGGAUAGCAAAUCAGCUUUGCAGGCUCGAGCCUUGUCAUGGACCAAUUUUUUUGCGUUUCCACCAUAAACGUUGAAUCGGAUUGAGAUCUGGACAGUUUGCUGGCCAUGUCAUUGAGUUGAUGACAUGACGAAAGUUCCAGCAUCGUCUCCUUGGCCAAUGCAGAUUCGUGAUUCAUCACUGAAGAUCACUUCCAUCCAAUCAUUCACACUCCAUGACUGCUUCUCUUUAGCCCACUGUGACCUUGUUUUCUUCUUUUUAGCUGUUAGUGCUGGUUUUCAUGUGGCUUUUCUGUACGUAAAUCCCAUUCCGUUCAGACGAUUUCCUACAGUUCUGUCACAAACCUUGACUCCUGUUUCCGCCCAUUUGUUUUUCGUUUGUUUUGCUGUGCGUUUUCGCUUUGAGUUUUCUACCCUGACGCGUUGACGUCUUCCUUGGUCUACCCGUAUGUUUUCCUUGUAUUACCUUCCCAUUUUGUUUAUACUUGCACCACAUUUUAGACACAGCUGAAAGGAAACAACCAACAUCUUUCGCUUCACUCCGUGUCAGAUUUCCUUCUUGAAGGAGUUUUAUAAUCAUUUCCAUUGUUUCAAUUGACAACUCUGUUGUUGGGGCCAUGUUUCCUUUCAGUUUGCCAAGUUCAACAGCUCACUAAUGUCUGUAAGGACUCUCUUUUAACUGCAGAUGAAUUUGCAUUGUUAGACUUGUGCUGGUAUUUGUUUUAGAAAUGCAAACUACAAGGUGAUUCCAUAAUUUUGUUCCUCGCGAUUCCAUAUUUUUUUCCUCGACUUGAUCUGGGAAAAAAAUGCCAUUCAUUAAAAUCAUUUCAUUUCAUUUGUUUGAGGUAUGUUUCACGAAGCCAGACUGUUCAGCUAUUAAACAAAAAUUGUUUUGUGUCUUAUCCGUGAUUUGUUUAUUUGCUACUAAGUAAAAAAUUCGGGUGAAGUGUAGUGAUUCCAUAAUGUUUGCCAGGGGUAGUGUGUAACACCACCCAGUCUUAUUUCUCCUGCCAUAUUUAUAUUUCACAUUACAUAUUCAUGUUGUACAUGAGGUUUGUAUGCAGUGUUAAAUGGUUGUAGUUUUUAUAAAUACACUAGAAUAAAUAUUCUUGAAGACUGCUUCUAUGAGCCACUAUAUAAGGGAUGAGAUCUCAGUGUUUACCGUACAUAUAGUGGGAGAAUAAGCAAUAUGCGCCAAAAUGUGUGUGUGUGUGUGUGUGUGUGUGUGUGUGUGUGUGUGUGUUUGCACGUGUACGUGUACGUACGUGGAGCUUUCGUAUGAAGAUUUUCUGUAUAUAAAACAGGACUAUUUUUGGUGCAUGGUAUUAUUUCAGGGUAGUGCAGCUUAAGGUACAUUUUAGGAAAAUCCAUUUUCUAUGCACCAGUAUGUGUUGAUCAAUUAUGAUAUGAUAUGUGCAAGACAUUUUUCACUAGAUACAUGCAUGGUUGAUUAACAGAGUUUAUGCUGAUCGUGCACGUUUAGAAAUGGAUCCAGGUUUCUGCAUUGCAAAACAAUGAAGCAGCGAAGCUCCAAUGAAGCAAGAACAUUAUUUACACACUCUGUACCCCGCUUAUCUUGUUAACACUGACAUGACACCUGGCCCGUAUAUAGCUCCCGGAACAUUGAUUGUAAAAUGCUGAUGCGCAGGAAAGUUACUAGAGCAAAACCGGUCUUAGUGUCUCUCUCUCUCUCUCUCUCUCUCUCUCUCUCUCUCUCUCUCUUAGUGGUCUAAGUCUCUCUCUCCCUCUCUCACACACACUCCAUGUCUCAAUAAUUAUAAAAACACCACAGUUACUGCUGAUGCUUAAAUCUAACUACAGUGUGACUCACAUGGAGAUUUUCUGUGAAAGCUCAGCUUCAGUGUGUCUCAUGGCUGUAGAAAGUGUUUAUCACCACUAGGAGGCAGUGUGUACCUUUUCUUCAUAAUCCAGUCAUAAAGAGUUUACUUCUUUUCCUUUGUCUCUAUUCCCUACAGCUGUAUUUACAUCAAUAUGGUUUUUUUUAACAAGCUAUUUCAAGCUGUUAACAGUUCUGACCUCUUC